UGUUGGGUUGGCCAAAAAAUAUUUGUUCAGGUUUUUGUGAAAUAGUAUAUGAAAAACCUGAAUGAACUUUUUGGCCAACCCAAUACA
rnacentral:miRNA from 1 species